GCCAAAUAACUUUUAAGAUACAAUUUAAAGGUACAACUCUGCCAUCUAGCCUGAAAAAAAGAUAUUACACUUAGUAUUGAGACAAACCUGAUUAUCUGGAGGUAUGUAUCAAUGGUUAUAUGAAAUCAGCUCAUAUUGUUUUUUUAUGCUAACAUGUAAUAGAAGGAAGCAAGUCAUAAAAUAUUAUCUUCUGUACUACAGAACCGCUGGUUGUAUCUCCAAACAUCACAUUACAACCUGUCUGGGAAGGUGAAUUCAAAGCCUUAGGGGUCAGACUCAUCUGCACCUUGAGUGGAUUCUUUCCAGAUAAACUGAGUGUGGAGUGGAAGCUGGACAACAACCCUCUAGUGAUUAAUCCAAUCGAAAGGAAGCUGCAGACCGUGGAGGGAGUGAAAAAAACAUUUAGUUUUAGCAGUGAGAUUGAGCCAAACAGCAAGGAGUGGGCAAAAGGCUCAAGCUAUACAUGCAAGGCGAUUCACAACAACAUUGAAUUUACAAAGACAAUUAGUGUCUGUCAAAUCGUUCCAAGCACCACUCCUGCCAUGCAUUUACAAACCCCGAGCUUCAAGACGGUAAUGGAGGCAAAGUCAGACAUUGAGGCAACAUGUUCAGUCUGCACUAUUUUUGAUGCCACUGUGACAUGGAGGCUGGAUGAUGACUCUCCCUCCAAAGAACACAUCAACCAGGUCACUAAUGCAAGUCAUAUAAUAAGCACUCUGACAGUUUCAUCAAGCAGCUGGCAAAGACUGAAGAAUCUAAAAUGUAAGGCUGAACAUCACUGCUUCUCUUCUACUGAAGUUACAUUUGUUCCAGGGCCUGCAGUAAGACCUCCAUUGAUUCAGAUCAGAAGAUCUCUCCCACAUUUGCUGAAGGGAGACAGUGCUGUGCUGGAGUGUGACAUCACACAGUCCGACUCCAGGGAUCUAUCUGUCACCUUACAGACUAAUACGAAUGCUAUUAUUGGCAAACAGUUUGUUGAUCUUCCUCAAACCCCAGGACCACAUUCAAUCAGUAGAUUCUUCUCUGUGCCUCAAAAUCACUGGAAGAAAAACACAAGUUUCUACUGCAGAGUAAGCCAAGGUUUCUCUGGCAGUUCUACAUCAAACUCUACUGGCAUUAUCUUUGUGGAUCCAUCAGUGGAGCUCCUUCUGGUCCCAGGUGAAGAGUCUGGACAACAGAGACUGUCGUGCUCUGGAUGGGGCUUUGACCCUCAAAUCAAAUGGUCUUCUGAGUCCCAGCAAAAAUCUCCUUCGACCUAUGACAUCAGCAUGGGUGCAGGUGGACGUGUGGCAGUAACCAGUCAACUUCUUGUCCCUCAAGAAGAGUGGAAAACGGGGAAAAACUUCACCUGUGAAGUCUCUGACAGAAUUCUGAAGAAAGAUGUUCAACAGGAGAUCAGCCUCUGUUCAGUUACUCCCGCAUCAUCUCAAUCAGUUGGGGUCUAUAUUCAGGGACCACCACUCCAGGAGAAUCAGAACACGGGACAAGUGACUGUCACCUGCCUUUUGGUUGGCCCUCUUCUAAAAGAUAUUUCCAUCAACUGGAAAGUAGAUGGAAACACAUAUACCCAUCGUGCCCAUAUAGAGCCACCAGUGAGUCUCGGCAACGGUACAGAAACUUUGCGGAGCUUCCUUAACGUGUCAGCAGAGGACUGGAACUCUUAUAAAAACGUGUCAUGUGAGGGAAAGCAUCCAUGUUCCAAACAGAGCUACAAGGACCAUAUAAAGAAAUGCAAAGACACCAGUCCACCAACAGUGAAGAUUAUACAACCAAGUGCCUCUCAGGCUUCCACAUCACACUUCCUCACACUUACUUGCCUGGUGUCAGAAUUUUUCCCAUCCAACAUAAUAGUGUACUGGAAAAAAGAUGGCCAGAGACUCCCUUCAACUGGCUACACUAACAGUCCUGCAUGGAAGUACACCGGGAGCAGCACUUAUUCAAUGAGCAGCAGACUAAAUAUAACCAAAACUGUGCACGAGGAGUCCACAUAUUCUUGCGUUGUCAGACAUGAGUCAUCCGAAAUGCCCCUUGAAAGCAGUAUAAAGGAUGUGUUUGACGUAUUGGAGAGCUGUGAUUUUUUGGAUAAUAUUAUGUAUGCUGAAAGGAUCCAAGACAAAGAUGAGGAAGGCUGGUUUAUGGCUUUCACAUUUCUCGUUUUUUUCCUCAUUUCCAUCGUCUAUGGUGUCUUUGCAACCCUGUUUAAGACUAAAUGAUGGCGAUCACAGGAACAGAUCAACUUUCAAGAUCAAAAAGUGAACUUCUGGAGAUUUUUGAUUGUAUCUGGUCUUGUUAAUCUUUAAAUGGGAUAAGAAAUGCUCCCAUCAUUAUGUUCCUUUCCACUGUUUUACAUCUUGUUACUUUUCUACAUGCCAAUUCUUUUGAGAUUAUGCUACCAAUGUCAUGAAAACAAAUCCUGUAUCAUUUGUGCAUUGAGAAAAUAAAUAUUCAUAAAUUGGAAACAAA